AGAAAAGUAGGUGCCGCCCCGCACAGGGGCAACGCUAAUAGACCACUAGCGCAACAAGGAAAGGCCAACAACCUCUCGACGGGCGCAAAGAACCAACAAAAAACCAACCAAAAACAGCGC
rnacentral:sRNA from 1 species